rnacentral:rRNA from 1 species
UACAGAGGGUGCGAGCGUUGUUCGGAAUUAUUGGGCGUAAAGGACGCGUAGGCGGCGCGGUAAGUCACCUGUGAAAUCUCCUGGCUCAACUGGAGCUUGCAGGCGAAACUGCCGUGCUGGAGUGUGGGAGAGGUGCGUGGAAUUCCCGGUGUAGCGGUGAAAUGCGUAGAUAUCGGAGGAACACCUGUGGCGAAAGCGGCGCACUGGACCACAACUGACGCUGAGGCGCGAAAGCUAGGGGAGCAAACAGG